rnacentral:rRNA from 1 species
AACGAACGCUGGCGGCAGGCUUAACACAUGCAAGUCGAACGGGCGCGAGCAAUCGCGUCAGUGGCAGACGGGUGAGUAACACGUGGGAACCUUCCUAGGGGUACGGAACAACUCAGGGAAACUUGAGCUAAUACCGUAUACGUCCGUAAGGAGAAAGAUUCAUCGCCCCUAGACGGGCCCGCGUCGGAUUAGCUAGUUGGUGGGGUAACGGCCUACCAAGGCGACGAUCCGUAGCUGANCUGAGAGGAUGAUCAGCCACACUGGGACUGAGACACGGCCCAGACUCCUACGGGAGGCAGCAGUGGGGAAUCUUGGACAAUGGGCGCAAGCCUGAUCCAGCCAUGCCGCGUGAAUG